rnacentral:rRNA from 1 species
GAUGAACGCUAGCGGCAGGCCUAAUACAUGCAAGUCGGACGGGAUUGGGAGCUUGCUCCUAAUGAGAGUGGCGCACGGGUGCGUAACACGUAUGUAACCUACCUUAAUCAGGGGGAUAGCCUCUCGAAAGAGAGAUUAACACCGCAUAACAUAUUUUUAUGGCAUCGUAGAAAUAUCAAAUAUUUAUAGGAUUAAGAUGGGCAUGCGGAACAUUAGCUAGUUGGUAAGGUAACGGCUUACCAAGGCUACGAUGUUUAGGGGAUCUGAGAGGAUGACCCCCCACACUGUGACUGAGAAACGGACCAGACUCCUACGGGAGGCAGCAGUAAGGAAUAUUGGUCAAUGGGCGCAAGCCUGAACCAGCCAUGCCGCGUGCAGGAAGACGGCCCUAUGGGUUGUAAACUGCUUUUGUACCGGAAUAAACCCUUUUACGUGUAAAAGGCUGAAUGUACGGUAAGAAUAAGGAUCGGCUAACUCCGUGCCAGCCGCCGCCGUAA